rnacentral:rRNA from 1 species
GACGAACGCUGGCGGCGUGCUUAACACAUGCAAGUCGAGCGGUAAGGCCCUUUCGGGGGUACACGAGCGGCGAACGGGUGAGUAACACGUGGGUGACCUGCCCUCAGCUCUGGGAUAAGCCUGGGAAACCGGGUCUAAUACUGGAUAUGACUCCAUGACGCAUGUUGUGGGGUGGAAAGCCUUGUGCGGCUGAGGAUGGGCCCGCGGCCUAUCAGCUUGUUGGUGGGGUGANGGCCUACCAAGGCGACGACGGGUAGCCGGCCUGAGAGGGCGACCGGCCACACUGGGACUGAGACACGGCCCAAACUCCUACGGGAGGCAGCAGUGGGGAAUCUUGCGCAAUGGGCGAAAGCCUGACGCAGCGACGCCGCGUGAGGGAUGACGGCCUGG